rnacentral:rRNA from 1 species
UACGGAGGGUGCGAGCGUUAAUCGGAAUUACUGGGCGUAAAGGGCGCGCAGGCGGCCUUUUAAGUGAAAUGUGAAAUCCCCGGGCUUAACCUGGGAAUAGCAUUUGAGACUGGGAGGCUAGAGUACUUUAGGGAGGGGUAGAAUUCCACGUGUAGCGGUGAAAUGCGUAGAGAUGUGGAGGAAUACCGAAGGCGAAGGCAGCCCCUUGGGAAUGUACUGACGCUCAUGUGCGAAAGCGUGGGGAGCAAACAGG